rnacentral:rRNA from 1 species
CCUACGGGAGGCAGCAGUGGGGAAUUUUGGACAAUGGACGCAAGUCUGAUCCAGCCAUGCCGCGUGCGGGAAGAAGGCCUUCGGGUUGUAAACCGCUUUUGUCAGGGAAGAAACGGCUUUCUCUAAUACAGAGAGUUAAUGACGGUACCUGAAGAAUAAGCACCGGCUAACUACGUGCCAGCAGCCGCGGUAAUACGUAGGGUGCAAGCGUUAAUCGGAAUUACUGGGCGUAAAGCGUGCGCAGGCGGUUAUGCAAGACAGAUGUGAAAUCCCCGGGCUCAACCUGGGAACUGCAUUUGUGACUGCAUAGCUAGAGUACGGUAGAGGGGGAUGGAAUUCCGCGUGUAGCAGUGAAAUGCGUAGAUAUGCGGAGGAACACCGAUGGCGAAGGCAAUCCCCUGGACCUGUACUGACGCUCAUGCACGAAAGCGUGGGGAGCAAACAGGAUUAGAUACCCUGGUAGUCCACGCCCUAAACGAUGUCAACUGGUUGUUGGGAGGGUUUCUUCUCAGUAACGAAGCUAACGCGUGAAGUUGGCCGCCUGGGGAAGUCGGCCGCAAGGUUGAAACUCAAAUGAAUUGNGNGNGAGAGNGCGAGNGACGAGAGGGAGGAG